rnacentral:rRNA from 1 species
GCCCCAGUUCGGACUGCGGCCUGCAACCCGGCCGCACGAAGCCGGAAUCGCUAGUAAUCGCGGAUCAGAAUGCCGCGGUGAAUACGUUCCCGGGUCUUGUACACACCGCCCGUCACACCAUGGGAGCCGGGAAUGCCCGAAGCAGGCGGCCCAACCCGCAAGGGAGGGAGCCUUCUAAGGCAGGCCUGGUGACUGGGGUGAAGUCGUAACAAGGUACC